AAUCAACGCUGGCGGCGUGCCUCAGACAUGCAAGUCGAACGAUUAAAGCUCUCUUCGGAGAGUGCAUAAAGUGGCGCACGGGUGAGUAACACGUAAGUAAUCUACCUUCGAGUGGGAAUAACGUCCGGAACGGACGCUAAUACCGCAUAACGCAGCGGCAUCGCAAGAUGACAGUUGUUAAAGAUUUAUCGCUUGAAGAGGAGCUUGCGGCAGAUUAGCNGUUGGUAAGGUAACGGCUUACCAAGGCUACGAUCUGUAUCCGGUCUAAGAGGACGGUCGGACACACUGACACUGAAUAACGGGUCAGACUCCUACGGGAGGCAGCAGUCGGGAAUUUUGGGCAAUGGGGGAAACCC
rnacentral:rRNA from 1 species